rnacentral:lncRNA from 1 species
UUUUGCAAAUUUUGGCCUAUGCGAUCUCGACAUAUAUACAAUCAUGUUUGACGGUUGGAUCGUUGAAACUAUUCAUAGAAUGUGUAUCCCAUCAAAACAAUAGAUUCACUAAUACUUAAGAGCUUAUUCAUACUUUCAUUAAGUAUAACAUAAGAUUUUAUGGUAUCCACUAGUGUGAAUAUUUUAAAUUGAAGAUCGAGUUCAUUCAUUGUAUUCAUAUAAGGUCAAGGAGUGUAGCUGUAAAAAAUCAUCAAAAUUGGAGUUAAAAUAACCGUUAAAUCGUGAUUUAUCGUUGAUAACCGUCGAAACGUUUUGUCCCAUUACUUGAUCUCUGAAUAUUUGUUUUCUGCAAUUUUUGGCGUAUGUGAUCUCAAAGUAUAUACAAACAUGUUUGACGGUUGGAUUGUUGAAACUAGUUUCGUAGAAUGUGUAUCCCAUCAAAACAAUAGAUUCACUAACACUCAAGAGUUUAUUCAUACUUUCAUUAAGUAUAACAUAAGAUUUUGUGGUAUCCACUAGUGUAAAUAUUUUAAAUUAAAGAUCGAGUUCAUUCAUUGUAUUCGCAUAGGGUCAAGGAGUGUAGCUGUAAAAAAUUAUCAAAAUCGGAGUUAAAAUAACCAUUAAAUCAUGAUUUUUCGUUGAUAAACGUCGAAAAGUUUUGUCCUGUUACUUGAUCUCUGAAUGUUUAUUUUUUGCAAUUUUUAGCAUAUGUGAUCUUGAAGCAUACACAAACAAGUUUGACGGUUUGAUCGUUGAAAUUAGUUUCGUAGAAUGCGUAUCCCAUCAAAACGAUAGAUUCACUAACACUUAGACUUUAUUUAUACUUUCAUUAAAUAUAACAUAAGAUUUUGUGGUAUCCACAUCCACUAGUGUCAAUAUUUUAAAUUAAAGAUCGAAUUUAUUCAUUGUAUUCAUAUAGGCUCAAGCAUUGUAGUUGUAAAAUAUCAUCAAAAUCGAAGUUAAAAUAAUCGUUAAAUCGUGAUUUUUAGUUGAUAACCGUCGAAAAGUUUUAUCUCAUUACUUGAUCACUGAAUGUUUGUUUUUUGCAAUUUUUGGCGUAUGCUAUCUUGAAGUAUAUACAAUCAUGUUUGAUGGUUGGAUCGUUGAAACUAGUUUCGUAGAAUGCGUAUCCCAUCAAAACAAUAGAUUCACUAACACUUAAGAAUUUAUUCAUACUUUCAUUAAGUAUAACAUAAGAUUUUGUGGUAUCCACUAGUGUAAAUAUUUUAAAUUGAAGAUCGAGUUCAUUCAUUGUAUUCAUAUAAGGUCAAGGAGUGUAGCUGUAAAAAAUCAUCAAAAUCAGAGUUAAAAUAACCGUUAAAUCGUGAUUUUUCGUUGAUAACCGUCAAAAAGUUUUGUUCUGUUACUUGAUCUCUGAAUUUUUUUUUUUUUACAAUUUUUUGUUGAUGCGAUCUCAAAGCAUAUAUAAACAAGGUUGACGGUUGGAUCGUUGAAAUUAGUUUUGUAGAAUUCGUAUCCCAUCAAGUUCAAUGGUAUAUAUAUAUUUAUUAAGUAGAUUUAAAUUUAUUUAUUUUGUACAUAUAACACUUAAGAAAUUGAAUGGUAUGUAUAUUUAAGCCGAUCCAAUGGUCAACAAUUUUUAAUAUUUAAUUUAAUAUAUAUAUAUAUAUAUAUAAUUAUUAUAGUUAUUAGGGGUAUAAAAUUGUUAAAUUAAUAUAUAUAUAUAUAUAAUUAUUAUAGUAUUUUUUUAGGGUUAUAAAAUUAUAAAAUUAAUAUUUUGGUUAUCGUGUAUCGUGUUACCCACGUGUAUACCCGAACUAACCCGUUAUCUUAACAGGUGCUUAUCGGGUUACCCAAUAAGACCCGAUUCGUUAUCGUGUCGACCCGAGCACUUGUUAAUUUCGUGUCGUGU